GAUGAUCGCUAGCUACAGGCUUAACACAUGCAAGUCGAGGGGUAACGAGAGGAAAGCUUGCUUUCCUUGUCGACGACCGGCGCACGGGUGAGUAACGCGUAUCCAACCUGCCCCCAACUAGGGAAUAACCUUGCGAAAGUAAGACUAAUACCCUAUAAUUUCCUCAGAUGUCAUCUGACGAGGAAUAAAGAUUUAUCGGUUGUGGAUGGGGAUGCGUCUGAUUAGCUUGUUGGCGGGGUAACGGCCCACCAAGGCAACGAUCAGUAGGGGUUCUGAGGGGAAGGUCCCCCACAUUGGAACUGAGACACGGUCCAAACUCCUACGGGAGGCAGCAGUGAGGAAUAUUGGUCAAUGGGCGGAAGCCUGAACCAGCCAAGUAGCGUGCAGGAUGACGGCCCUAUGGGUUGUAAACUGCUUUUAUACAGGAAUAAAGUUAGCCACGUGUGGUUAUUUGUAGGUACUGUAUGAAUAAGGACCGGCUAAUUCCGUGCCAGCCGCCGCGGUAA
rnacentral:rRNA from 1 species